CUUCUUUUCUUUCUCAUCCUUUGAGUUCUACAGAUUAUUUUUUAAACUUCAUAAUUUUAAUUCUGGUGACUUGAUUCACCUAAAUUUAAACAGAUUUUUUCUUUUUUUCCCCAUAAUAAUUUCCAUUUCUAUGGGAACUGUUGAGUCACAGCCUGAACCACUGAUUGAUCACCUGAGGACAGGACUGAAUCAGCCCUGGGAACAUAGAUGAAGGCUGUAGACCCCAUUUAAGGGCUGACUGCCACUAGGAAGGAUCUCUUUCUGGAGAUCCCUCUUCUGUGAAGUCUUUUCUGUGAACCUAGAUCUUUGGAUACAGGUGAGCAUUCUUUCCUUGUUUGUUUCUUUUCCCAUUUCCACCAUGAUGAUCUUUCCAGCUGUAACGCCGACUGUAACACUGUUUAUACUUCUUCAUCACAAUUCCUAAUGUCUGCGUUGAAUGGCAAGCAUGUACUUAUUGGAACAGAAUUAGAGGUUAUCCUUUAACAUAAAAUGCCUAUUAGUCAAAGGCAAUUACAUUUAAUACUUUUUGGGGCUAAGUUACAGCAGGCUCUUGAUGCUUAAAAGCUGUUAAUGUGUUUCAGAAAUGUAGUGGCACACGUUUGCGAAGUGCUUCCUUGUUUUUAUUUUUACUAGGUGUAAUUCAGUUUUUGAAAAGUCCUUGAGUGUUGGCUGACAUCUGGUUUAGGCUCUUUUCCGUAAGUGAGAAUUCUUCUUGUUACUGCUAUAGCAGCAAGUGUGUUUGAAUGAAAAGGUAAUGACUUAUCUCUUUUUAUAUUACAUGCGGAUGCUUAGAAGCAAUCCUCAAUACUAUUUAAAACUAUAUAAUAAUAUGUGUUUAUCAUCGAGCGUUUACAAGGGCUCAAUAAGGAGGCAAGUUUUCUCUUUAUUUUAGCAUCUGUGGAAAGAACAAAAGAGAGAAGGGAAAACAGGAUUUUCUGUAAAAAGGAUUCAAGAAGGCAAAAUUCAGAGCUUGGUGUUUGGAUCCAUAUUCCAGGCCAGCCUCAAAAUCAGAUUGGACAUUUAAAGGUGGCUUUCCUCUAUUACGUGUUCUCCUGUCACACAUCCUAUCAGCUUACACUAGAAAGUGUCCCUUCUGGUAGUCUCCAAGCACAAGGUCUGUUCACACAGAAGUUCUGGAACACGUGCAGUGUUGGUUGCGUCACUGAUUACAUGGGAACUUGACAAAUUAUAAUAAUUACGUUCCUGUUCAUGAAGUUUCUGCUUUACAGGGAACUGGAGACGGUGAUACUCAUUUGCAAUUACCUUUGUGAACUGCUGUAAUUACGCACUUGGAAAAUGACAGCAUUUUACUUUUCCUCAUUGUUCAAAGAACAGAUGACUGUGGGCAAGAAGUACCUUGCAAAGGCUCUGAAUUACACUUAAGUAUUUGCUGUUCAAUGAUACUUAAUCCUGUGUUAUUACUUUUACUAUUUUUAAGUUUUUAGUCGAGGGUUUUUUUUGUCUUUUUUUUCUUUUUUCUUAAGCCACUGGAGUGUCUGAUUGUUCUGGCUUCCAAUUCCAGUUAAUGUACUGACUGCUGAGUUACCAAAGGUAUUGUGUAUGUACACAUGCCAUAUAAACCCAUCUCUGCCUACAUUAACACCAUACCAUGUAUGUGGAGACAAAGUGGAUUUAUGUGAAUCUUUAUCUUAUCACCACUUCAAUUUCAAUCUUUCUCUCCAGGAUUUACAGUGGCAUUUCAGGGGUUACCAUUAACAGAAAUAAAAUGCCCAACAAAACUCCA
rnacentral:lncRNA from 1 species